GAUGAACGCUGGCGGCGUGCCUAAUACAUGCCAGUCGAGCGAACGGACGAGAAGCUUGCUUCUCUGAUGUUAGCGGCGGACGGGUGAGUAACACGUAGAUAACCUACCUAUAAGACUGGGAUAACUUCGGGAAACCGGAGCUAAUACCGGAUAAUAUUUUGAACCGCAUGGUUCAAAAGUGAAAGACGGUCUUGCUGUCACUUAUAGAUGGAUCCGCGCUGCAUUAGCUAGUUGGUAAGGUAACGGCUUACCAAGGCAACGAUGCAUAGCCGACCUGAGAGGGUGAUCGGCCACACUGGAACUGAGACACGGUCCAGACUCCUACGGGAGGCAGCAGUAGGGAAUCUUCCGCAAUGGGCGAAAGCCUGACGGAGCAACGCCGCGUGAGUGAUGAAGGUCUUCGGAUCGUAAAACUCUGUUAUUAGGGAAGAACAUAUGUGUAAGUAACUGUGCACAUCUUGACGGUACCUAAUCAGAAAGCCACGGCUAACUACGUG
rnacentral:rRNA from 1 species